UACGUAGGGUCCGAGCGUUGUCCGGAUUUACUGGGCGUAAAGAGCUCGUAGGCGGUGUGUCGCGUCGGCCGUGAAAACCUGCAGCUUAACUGUGGGCUUGCGGUCGAUACGGGCAUCACUGGAGUUCGGCAGGGGAGACUGGAAUUCCUGGUGUAGCGGUGAAAUGCGCAGAUAUCAGGAGAACACCGGUGGCGAAGGCGGGUCUCUGGGCCGAGUAACUGACGCUGAGGCGCGAAAGC
rnacentral:rRNA from 1 species